rnacentral:lncRNA from 1 species
UUUAAAAACAAACUUUAAUGAAAACGAUUUUGAUGAAAUAGAAUGGGGAAAGGCUAGUUAGAAGGUUCCUUCUCCACACAUGAAACAUAUGCAUACGACUCGAUUUCCAAUUACUCUUGCAAUAAACCAUGAAUGACAAUGCCCCAAAUUAACUAGAUUGACCAAUUAACUCACAGAUUUCCCUAGAUUCAUUGAAUUGAAUGGGAUACGCAUUACAACCAAAU